UGGGUGUUAGAUGACUCACAUUUUUACCUG
rnacentral:piRNA from 1 species